AUUGAACGCUGGCGGCAGGCCUAACACAUGCAAGUCGAACGGUAACAGGAAGAAGCUUGCUUCUUUGCUGACGAGUGGCGGCCGGGUGAGUAAUGUCUGGGAAACUGCCUGAUGGAGGGGGAUAACUACUGGAAACGGUAGCUAAUACCGCAUAACGUCGCAAGACCAAAGAGGGGGACCUUCGGGCCUCUUGCCAUCGGCUGUGCCCAGAUGGGAGUAGCUAGUAGGUGGGGUAACGGCUCACCUAGGCGACGAUCCCUAGCUGGUCUGAGAGGAUGACCAGCCACACUGGAACUGAGACACGGUCCAGACUCCUACGGGAGGCAGCAGUGGGGAAUAUUGCACAAUGGGCGCAAGCCUGAUGCAGCCAUGCCGCGUGUAUGAAGAAGGCCUUCGGGUUGUAAAGUACUUUCAGCGGGGAGGAAGGGAGUAAAGUUAAUACCUUUGCUCAUUGACGUUACCCGCAGAAGAAGCACCGGCUAACUCCGUG
rnacentral:rRNA from 1 species